rnacentral:rRNA from 1 species
UGGGGAAUAUUGGACAAUGGGCGAAAGCCUGAUCCAGCCAUGCCGCGUGUGUGAAGAAGGUCUUCGGAUUGUAAAGCACUUUAAGUUGGGAGGAAGGGCAGUAAGCGAAUACCUUGCUGUUUUGACGUUACCGACAGAAUAAGCACCGGCUAACUCUGUGCCAGCAGCCGCGGUAAUACAGAGGGUGCAAGCGUUAAUCGGAAUUACUGGGCGUAAAGCGCGCGUAGGUGGUUCGUUAAGUUGAAUGUGGAAGCCCCGGGCUCAACCUGGGAACUGCAUCCAAAACUGGCGAGCUAGAGUAGGGCAGAGGGUGGUGGAAUUUCCUGUGUAGCGGUGAAAUGCGUAGAUAUAGGAAGGAACACCAGUGGCGAAGGCGACCACCUGGGCUCAUACUGACACUGAGGUGCGAAAGCAUGGGGAGCAAACAGG